CACUCUUGGACAGGUACGUGCUGUGCAGCACGCGAAACACUGGAGACGGUAAAGAAUGAAGAGGAAGGGAACCACCAGCAGCUUUUCCCAGCUUAAAAGAAGAGAGGAGGAAGAGCAUCCCAGAGAGGAGAUGGAGGAGGAAGAGUUCAGAGAGAGAGAAAGAAAUGAAGGCAUGGAGAGCUCAGACAGCGAAAGAUUGGAGAUGCCGUUGGAGGCGGUGCUGCUGCUGUGAUGACCAGAUGCGAGCAGGGGUCGAGAGGUACAGGAUGCCACGGUUGGUUUCCUGUGCAGCUGCAAAGGAGCUGUGCUGCUGUGUGCAAUCAUCGGAGCUGUCCAGAUACACAUGCAUAGUGAAGCAUGACAGGCGAGUUCCCCACUGACCCAUGAUGCUAAACAGACAAAUGUAGGGUGAGGCUACAAAUGACACAAGAUAUAAAAGAUGCAGCCAAAAUAAAU
ensembl:lncRNA